UGCGAGCGUUGUCCGGAAUUACUGGGCGUAAAGAGCUCGUAGGUGGUUUGUCGCGUUGUUCGUGAAAUCUCACGGCUUAACUGUGAGCGUGCGGGCGAUACGGGCAGACUUGAGUACUGCAGGGGAGACUGGAAUUCCUGGUGUAGCGGUGGAAUGCGCAGAUAUCAGGAGGAACACCGGUGGCGAAGGCGGGUCUCUGGGCAGUAACUGACGCUGAGGAGCGAAAGCGUGGGGAGCGAACAGGUCUAGAUACCCUGGUAGUCCACGCCGUAAACGGUGGGUACUAGGUGUGGGUUUCCUUCCUUGGGAUCCGUGCCGUAGCUAACGCAUUAAGUACCCCGCCUGGGGAGUACGGCCGCAAGGCUAAAACUCAAAGAAAUUGACGGGGGCCCGCACAAGCGGCGGAGCAUGUGGAUUAAUUCGAUGCAACGCGAAGAACCUUACCUGGGUUUGACAUGCACAGGACGCCGGCAGAGAUGUCGGUUCCCUUGUGGCCUGUGUGCAGGUGGUGCAUGGCUGUCGUCAGCUCGUGUCGUGAGAUGUUGGGUUAAGUCCCGCAACGAGCGCAACCCUUGUCUCAUGUUGCCAGCGGGUAAUGCCGGGGACUCGUGAGAGACUGCCGGGGUCAACUCGGAGGAAGGUGGGGAUGACGUCAAGUCAUCAUGCCCCUUAUGUCCAGGGCUUCACACAUGCUACAAUGGCCGGUACAAAGGGCUGCGAUGCCGCGAGGUUAAGCGAAUCCUUUUAAAGCCGGUCUCAGUUCGGAUCGGGGUCUGCAACUCGACCCCGUGAAGUCGGAGUC
rnacentral:rRNA from 1 species